rfam:Triticum aestivum genome assembly, contig: Triticum_aestivum_CS42_TGACv1_scaffold_146300_2BS
UAUCUACUCCCUCCGUCCAGAAAUACUUGUCACCAAAUGAAUAAAAGGGAUGUAUCUAGAUGUAUUUUAGUUCUAGAUACAUUCAUUUUUGUUCAUUUUGAUGACAAGUAUUUUCGACGGAGGGAGUAUCUA